GCUUGUCUCAAAGAUUAAGCCAUGCAUGUCUAAGUAUAAAUAACUACACAGUAAAACUGCGAAUGGCUCAUUAAAACAGUUAUAGUUUAUUUGAUACAUUUUAAAUGGAUAACUGUAGAAACACUAGAGCUAAUACAUGCGUCAAACCUCGACUUCUGGGAGAGGUGUAUUUAUUAGAUGGAAACCAAUGCGGGGCAACCCGGUAUAUGGUGAUUCAUAAUAACUUUCGGAUCGAUCUUCGGAUCGAUGCAUCAUUCAAGUUUCUGCCCUAUCAGCUUUGGAUGGUAGGGUAUUGGCCUACCAUGGCUUUAACGGGUAACGGAGAAUUAGGGUUCGAUUCCGGAGAGGGAGCCUGAGAAAUGGCUACCACAUCCAAGGAAGGCAGCAGG
rnacentral:rRNA from 1 species